rnacentral:rRNA from 1 species
AUACGUAGGUGGCAAGCGUUGUCCGGAAUUACUGGGUGUAAAGGGCGUGUAGGCGGGGAUGCAAGUCAGAUGUGAAAUUCCGGGGCUCAACCCCGGCACUGCAUCUGAAACUGUGUCUCUUGAGUGCUGGAGAGGAAAGCGGAAUUCCUAGUGUAGCGGUGAAAUGCGUAGAUAUUAGGAGGAACACCAGUGGCGAAGGCGGCUUUCUGGACAGUAACUGACGCUGAGGCGCGAAAGCGUGGGUAGCGAACAGGAUUAGAUACCCUGGUAGUCCACGCCGUAAACGAUGGAUACUAGGUGUAGGAGGUAUCGACCCCUUCUGUGCCGGAGUUAACACAAUAAGUAUCCCACCUGGGGAGUACGGCCGCAAGGUUGAAACUCAAAUGAAUUGACGGGG